CACUGUCCCCCGCCCGUCACCCCUCUCACUGUCCCCGGCCCGUCACCCCUCUCACUGUCCCCGGCCCGUCACCUCUCUCACUGUCCCCGGCCCGUCACCCCUCUCACUGUCCCCGGCCCGUCACCCCUCUCACUAUGUAGGACUAUUUAUUCUGAAGUGUAACGUCAAAUGGCCAGAAAAGUGACCACAUACACACAGGCUCUCUGUGAAUAUGGUGGUGGAUACUGGACAGAACCCCCACACUCAUUCAUCUUUCCCCACAAAUGUAGAAUGUAGCCAUAAUGUUGUUCCGCCAAAACUCUGUACGGACUCAUUCCAGCUUGUUAGCAAGGGGCCUACUUCAGUUCCAAACUCCAUUCCAAACAACACUCCUAGUCUACUUGAGAACACACACACCCUUCCUGAAACGGAGGUUUGUCCUUCCUUCGCUAGAAUGGUGUGCGUGUGUUUACGUGCUCUGCUCUCUGCACUGGACGGCUCCAUUGUUUUCACACCACUUCCAGAUUGGCGUUCCCACUGCCCUGGGGCGCAUUCCUCAAAUUCUUGCUGUGUGCUUGUGUACACCCAAUGAGAAUCUGGUUUCAGGUGACUGGUCAGCCUUAGUCUGCUAUCUGGAUCCACCUCCAAGAAUGAUUCCCCCAACCACCCUUAUGAGGCUAAAUUGUAACGAACUUGCAUAAACCACCAUUUUUGGUUGGCUAACUUCUAGCCUACAAUAACGCCUCUUGUCUGCAACUGUACUGUGUCGACUACCGAAGGAACAAACCCUGCUCUGUACUCCUCAGAGGUAAAGGUAGUAUUGGCCUCUCAAUGGCUGUCACCAGCAGUGGUCUCUAGACUUCCUCAGAGGUCAAUUACAGCCUGCUAUCACCCCCAGCUUUAAAAGGGCUAUUAAAGUGGCCUAACAUGAAUAAGAAGAAGCCACGCAAUGCUAACUGCAAAGUCCACUCAGUGAAAUGCAUUUAAAUGGACCGUUUUAAAGAGGUCGUCUAUUAAGGGAACAGACUCAUUGAAGCGGCAUACUCUGAAGGUAGUGUAAAAGUCGCCUAUAAAGUUGCUGCCUCGCAGUUCAACAGAGGUGCUAUAGCCUUCUAAUUGUUAUCAUGUAACCUGAUCUGAGUUUAGUCCUCUGGGGGAAGGAGGUGGACUUUUGUUUUCAGCCACUCUUGGAGGACGAUGGGUAUUUCUUAAUUAUGCAAAAAUUUGUGAGGGUGUCCGCACUCAAAAAGAUGUCUCAUAAAGCUUACUGUAUUUCAAGAAUAGAUAUGACUAUUUUCCCUGCGUCGGGGAUAGCGUGCACAGAUGUUUCGUCUUUGCAGCCGUCUUCAGUACCUACACACUGUAAAGCUGAAACGUCUGUGUACUCUAUCCCUGAUGCAGUGAAAAUACAUAUUAUUUUAUCUUUAAAUGUAAUAAGGUUUAUGCGACAUCUUUUGGAGUACGGACCCAUCACAUCUUUUUACUUAUCUGAAUUUCUGGGUUUUACCCACCAAUCAAACGUCUGGCCCUCUUGAUUAGGUGUUUCUGGGUUUUACCCACCAAUCAAACGUCUGGCCCUCUUGAUUAGGUGUUUCUGGGUUUUACCCACCAAUCAAACGUCUGGCCCUCUUGAUUAGGUAUUUCUGGGUUUUACCCACCAAUCAAACGUCUGGCCCUCUUGAUUAGGUAUUUCUGGGUUUUACCCACCAAUCAAACGUCUGGCCCUCUUGAUUAGGUAUUUCUGGGUUUUACCCACCAAUCAAACGUCUGGCCCUCUUGAUUAGGUAUUUCUGGGUUUUACCCACCAAUCAAACGUCUGGCCCUCUUGAUUAGGUAUUUCUGGGUUUUACCCACCAAUCAAACGUCUGGCCCUCUUGAUUAGGUAUUUCUGGGUUUUACCCACCAAUCAAACGUCUGGCCCUCUUGAUUAGGUAUUUCUGGGUUUUACCCACCAAUCAAACGUCUGGCCCUCUUGAUUAGGUAUUUCUG